rnacentral:rRNA from 1 species
GCAGUCGAGCGGUAGGCCUUUCGGGGUACACGAGCGGCGAACGGGUGAGUAACACGUGGGUGAUCUGCCCUGCACUUCGGGAUAAGCCUGGGAAACUGGGUCUAAUACCGGAUAUGACCUCCUAUCGCAUGGUGGGUGGUGGAAAGAUUUAUCGGUGCAGGAUGGGCCCGCGGCCUAUCAGCUUGUUGGUGGGGUAAUGGCCUACCAAGGCGACGACGGGUAGCCGACCUGAGAGGGUGACCGGCCACACUGGGACUGAGACACGGCCCAGACUCCUACGGGAGGCAGCAGUGGGGAAUAUUGCACAAUGGGCGAAAGCCUGAUGCAGCGACGCCGCGUGAGGGAUGACGGCCUUCGGGUUGUAAACCUCUUUCAGCAGGGACGAAGCGCAAGUGACGGUACCUGCAGAAGAAGCACCGGCUAACUACGUGCCAGCAGCCGCGGUAAUACGUAGGGUGCAAGCGUUGUCCGGAAUUACUGGGCGUAAAGAGUUCGUAGGCGGUUUGUCGCGUCGUUUGUGAAAACCAGCAGCUCAACUGCUGGCUUGCAGGCGAUACGGGCAGACUUGAGUACUGCAGGGGAGACUGGAAUUCCUGGU